UAGUAAUCGUAGGUCAGCAUACUACGGUGAAUACGUUCCCGGGCCUUGUACACACCGCCCGUCAAACCAUGAGAGUUGGCAACACCGAAGUCGGUAGUCUAACCGCAAGGAGGACGCCGCCGAAGGUGGGGUCGAUGAUUAGGGUUAAGUCGUAACAAGGUAAC
rnacentral:rRNA from 1 species